GGGGCAGAGGGUCAGCCUUGUCUUUUUCUCUUUUCUCUUCCUCUUGUCUUUCCCUGGGUAGCAAGAAGCACUUAAUGAAGUGCUUAUGUUAUUGAGGCCUGUUACUGUACUUUUUUUUUAAGUUUCUUGUAGGUUUAUUAUGUUGCCAAGUUUCAUGGAGGCCACAUACGUCUUGUUUAGUUCUCAUUAGAUCCAUUUUAACAGGUUUCAGUGGACACAACAUCUUUAUUUUUAUGUGGUGCUGAGGAUCGAACCCAGCGUCCUGCGCAUGCCAGGCAAGUGCGCUACCGCUUGAGCCACAUCCUCAGCCCCAAGAGUUUAUUUUUGACUGAUGUACAAGUUUCAGCUUUUAAACAUAAGUACAAUUUUUUAUUAUUCACAAUAGCUGUGUUCCAUCAGGUCACUAUGAACACUGAAUUACAGAGUACCAAACCAUUUCGUCUAAAGGAAACACGAGACUAAGAGAUUCCUGCGAGCCUCUGGUUUCAUUUUCAUCAACUGAUUGUACCUUGUUUCGUGUGUCUUCUUUUUAAAGACACUUUGUUGAACACAUAUUGUCAAUUCAUUAACAAGGACUUUAUGGCUAACAGCACUAUAACCCAUGCCCAAAUGAAGCACAAGGCACAACAGUUCUCUGACAUGUAGAGCACUAGCCAACACUUCACCAUUACACUCCAUUUUAAACAGAGAGACUAUCAGUAAAAAGCACAAAAAUAUGGGGAGGGGGAAACAUGGUAGGAAGUAGACCACAAAAAGGACACUUAUAUACAAUGAAAGAACUAUAAACAAGAAAGCAGAAUGAGUGUUGCUCUUAGCUCUCAACAAGUAUUUUAGUGACUCAGAUUUUUUUGCUACCCUGCAUCUAUGAGUAUCCAUGAAAGUACCAUAAGUGAUGAUUUGGGGGUUACAAAUAAAUUUUAGUGAGUAGGCAAAUUUGUAUAUACAGAAUCUGCUAAUAAUGAGGCUCAACUGUAUGUUAAUUAUUUGGUUACCCAUAAGGUUGUAAGUUCUUCAGAAUUUUUUCCCUAAAUGUAUACAUUUAAGAAAUGUAACCUUUUGCAUAUGUCCUGGAAACCAUGUUCUAUAGUAGAUUAAUACAUUAGUUUUUUGAAAGCUCAAUUCUAGAAAUAGAAUUAUUGAACAUUUUGCUUGGAAAAGAAACCAGAAAUAAACAUUGUUCUAUAA